AGUGAACGCUGGCGGCAGGCCUAACACAUGCAAGUCGAACGGCAGCACAGUAAGAGCUUGCUCUUACGGGUGGCGAGUGGCGGACGGGUGAGGAAUACAUCGGAAUCUACUUUUUCGCGGGGGAUAACGUAGGGAAAAUUACGCUAAUACCGCAUACGACCUCCGGGUGAAAGCAUGGGAUCUUAGGAAAUUGCGCGAUUGUAUGAGCCGAGGUCGGAUUAGCUAGUUGGCGGGGUAAUGGCCCACCAAGGCGACGAUCCGUAGCUGGUCUGAGAGGAUGAUCAGCCACGCUGGAACGGAGACAAGGUCCAGACCCCUACGGGAGGCAGCAGUGGGGAAUAUUAGACAAUGGGCGCAAGCCUGAUCCAGCCAUGCCGCGUGGGGGAAGAAGGCCUUGGGGUUGUAAAGCCCUUUUGUUGGGAAAGAAAGGCAGCAAGUUAAUACCCCGCUGUUCUGACGGUACCCAAAGAAUAAGCACCGGCUAACUUCGUG
rnacentral:rRNA from 1 species